ensembl:lncRNA
GUCUUAAUUUACCAAUUUUUAUUUUUAUUAAAUUUAACCAAUUAAAAUCUUUAGAAAUUUAUUUACUUUAAAUAUUAAGUAUUAAUACACACUAUUAGAAUUUAAAAUCACUGAAGUAUUAUAAAAUACUUUUUUUUUUCCUCCAGGCUGCAACAUAACAUCAAUAUCAUCACCCACUGCAUCAUCUCUCCUAGUGAAAUGGAACUAUUUUGCAGGAGCGACAAACUAUAUUCUGGAUGUCAGGGCUGUGAAUGCAACCAACACAGCACCUAUCAUUAUUACACUCUCUGCGUCCACUGUGGAGCGACUGGUCCAAGGCUUAAGACCUGGACAGAUUUAUCUAGUGACUUUUAAAGUGUUUGUGCUCAAUUAUAUUACAUGCAUCAACUCCCAGACAGUACAGACAAGUAAGUUAUUGACCCACACAUAUCUUAUUGAAUUUCUGGACUUGUUACAUUGUUUAUUAAAUUAAUGUCAUUUGUGCAUGCAGUUCCUGCCACGUCACAAAUAACAUAUUCAAAGGCAAUAUCAAGCACCUCCAUCAGGUUUGAGUGGUCCAGUGCACAAGGAGCCGAUAAUUACAUUUUGGUGGUGAAUGGAACUUUCCAUCCUGAGACUCAGAACUUCACAUUUACCUCGCUAAGUGGACAGAUAGACAACCUCCAGCGAGCCACUUCGUACAGCUGUUACAUUUAUUCUGCCAAUUCUGCAGGACUCAGCGCCAAAAGCCUUGUCAGAACCAUCAGAACAUUGGUGCAGCCACCAGAUAAUGUGACUGUGAGCAAGUUAACGCAGACUACGGCUCGUGUAACAUGGAACAUCGUCUCAGGUGUCCUGCUUUACCAGCUUUCAGUCAUUGCCAAUAACAAGCCCGGAGUUCUCCCGGUUAUUAAAAACGUCACUAGUACCGAUGUGAAUAUCUCAAACCUGGAGCCGUGUACAACAUACACAAUAGGGGUUGCAUCUAUCAACAUGUUCCUUGAACCAGGAGAGUCCAAUAAUGUCACCUACUCAACUUCCACUAUUGGAACAGUUUCCUCCAUCUCUGUGGAGUACAACUGUCUUACUUCUACGGAAACGAUUAGUUGGGAUGCGGUUUUUGGUGCCACGUCGUACCGCGCCGUCAUUACAGAUGGUCAAGGCCGGUCGCUCAAUUGCUCUUCAACGGACACCUCCUGCCAGAUCUCGAAUCUGGUCUGUGGAGAACGGUACACUGUGCGGAUUACAGCCAUCGCUAACUGUGAAAGCACUUCCAACGGCAGCUACUUCUUCGAGACAGGUAAAGACGCCCUUUCUCAAAGGUCACGCUCACACCUGAUCCAGUCCUCCGAGAGGUGUGCAGGAAAUCCUGUCGUGGUGUAGCAAGUCUGGAGAGGAAAACACCCAAGAAUUACUAUCAUGUAGAUUAAAUUAGCUUUACGGUCCAUUGAGGCAGAUAUUUUUUCUGGAAGUUCAUGUGGUAUCAAGUAGCAGAGUCCUAAUUUAGCCCUUAAAGUUAGUAAAUCUACCUGCCUUCUCUAAGAUUAUCUUUCUCAGGUUGUUUUUUAUCUACUCUCCACCCAAAAUUGAAACUUCAAAACUCUGUCAUCAUUAAUCAUUAAUCAUGUAUGACUUUCUUUGUUCUGCAGAAGAUAUUUUCAUUUCUGGAUGAACUGUCAAUUUAAACCAAAAUGGAAUUGUAUAUUUCACCAGCAAAUGCAUUUCUUUUCCCCUUCUCUCAAACUAAUAGCACCAUGCCCACCCAAAGCGCCAAAAGUGUACCGCGAGUGCUCCACUAAUGUCAUCUUGUUCUCAUGGGAGCCCACCAACAACACAGCUUAUUACUUCG